UCUAAGUAUAACCUGCCAGACAGGGAAACUGCGUACGGCUCAUUACACCAGCCUUAAUUUACUUGACCUUGGCAACCUACUUGGAUAACUGUGGUAAUUCUAGAGCUAAUACAUGCACCAAAGCUCCGAUCCUCGCGGAGAGGAGCGCAUUUGUUCGCCACAAAACCAAGCGCCCAUCUGGGCGUCCAGUGCUGAACCAGAACAACUCAGCUGAUCGCACGGUCUUGUACCGGCGACGUGUCUUUCAAGUGUCUGCCUUAUCAACUUUCGAUGGUAGUGUACCUGACUACCAUGGUUGUGACGGGUAACGGAGGAUAAGGGUUCGACUCCGGAGAAGGGGCCUGAGAAAUGGCCACUACGUCUAAGGAUGGCAGCAGGCGCGCAAAUUACCCACUCUCAACGCGAGGAGGUAGUGACGAGAAAUAACGAGACCGUUCUCAUACGAGGCCGGUUAUUGGAAUGGGUACAAGUUA
rnacentral:rRNA from 1 species